rnacentral:rRNA from 1 species
GCCUUCCUACGGGACGCAGCAGUGAGGAAUAUUGGUCAAUGGGCGGAAGCCUGAACCAGCCACGUAGCGUGCAGGAUGACGGCCCUACGGGUUGUAAACUGCUUUUAUACGGGAAUAACGCGCCUUACGUGUAGGGCUUUGCAUGUACCGUAUGAAUAAGGACCGGCUAAUUCCGUGCCAGCAGCCGCGGUAAUACGGAAGGUCCGGGCGUUAUCCGGAUUUAUUGGGUUUAACGGGAGCGUAGGCCGCAUGUCAAGCUUGCUGUGAAAUGUCCGGGCUCAAC